UACGUAGGGCGCAAGCGUUAUCCGGAAUUAUUGGGCGUAAAGAGCUCGUAGGCGGUUUGUCGCGUCUGCCGUGAAAGUCCGGGGGCUCAACUCCGGAUCUGCGGUGGGUACGGGCAGACUAGAGUGAUGUAGGGGAGACUGGAAUUCCUGGUGUAGCGGUGAAAUGCGCAGAUAUCAGGAGGAACACCGAUGGCGAAGGCAGGUCUCUGGGCCGAUACUGACGCUGAGGAGCGAAAGCGUGGGGAGCGAACAGG
rnacentral:rRNA from 1 species